GAGAAAUCAUCAGUUAUCAAUUUCCAAAGCUAUAUGGCCUAUAUAUCCCCAAUAUGUCAACAUAUGACGAAAGCAAAUAAAUGAAUAAAUAUGUGCAAAUCAACCAAAAUUUGAUGUCUUUUACAUGAUUCUUUAUUUGGUAUUAAUUAAAACAGGAGAGAUAUAAUCAAUAAUAAAUAAAUUGAACACUGUGAUUACACCUCGAUUAGUUAACAAUUGAAUGAUUGCAAUAUAAAAACAAUUAACUGAUUAAUAAUUUUAUAUUGAAUACAAGCGAUGGGAUUUAAUUUACAAUUUUGCAGAAUGCUAUAUUUGAUCGAAAUUUUUAACCUAAAACUUAACUGCUUCACAUAUUCAAGUGUAAUCUUCAUC
rnacentral:lncRNA from 1 species